rnacentral:tmRNA from 1 species
UAAUCGCGUGGGACCGUCCCGCCGCCUUGAGGGUCGGCUCCCGCGUCACAAUCAGGGCUGGCCAAUUCCCGGUUCCGGACGGGCUGCGGCGAGAAACUUUCGGAAUACGGACGGGCCGCCUGCCGGGAAGCCAAGCCCGCCCCGACAACCCAAUUCCCGACUAAACCUGUAGACGCUUGCGUCACGCGUAUUAGGACGCGGGUUCAACUCCCGCCACCUCCAA